rnacentral:rRNA from 1 species
UACGGAGGGUGCAAGCGUUGUUCGGAUUUACUGGGCGUAAAGCGAGUGUAGGUGGACUGUUAAGCAGGGUGUGAAAUCCUGGGGCUCAACCCCAGAACUGCACUCUGAACUGGCAGUCUUGAACAUCGGAGGGGAAAGCGGAAUUCCUAGUGUAGAGGUGAAAUUCGUAGAUAUUAGGAGGAACACCAGUGGCGAAGGCGGCUUUCUGGACGAUUGUUGACACUCAGACUCGAAAGCACGGGUAGCAAACAGG